GCGCCACUUCCGGUUUCUCGGCGCUUCCCUUUCUGGCUUUCACAUAUGGCGGAGCUGGAGGCGCUGCUCGCGGCGCUCUUGGAACCGGACAAUGCGGAGCUUCGACGGGCCACCCUCAGGCUCCGCGAGGCGCUCAAGGACCCCGAAACCCCAUCCCGGCUCGCGGUGCUGCUCCGCCAGGCCUCCCAACCCCAGGUGCGUCAGAUGGCGGCCGUGGUGCUGCGGAGGCGCCUUUUGGGGCGAUGGAGGGGGACGGACCCCGAGCUGAGGGCCAGACUCCCAUCGCUGCUGGCCGAAGCCCUGGAUACCGAGACUGAGCACCCAGUAACGGUGGCACUGGCCCAACUGGGAGCACUGGUUUUGCGCCGGGGCGGGGAAGGAGCUUGGGGACCCCUCGGGACUUGGGUGACAGUGGCGGCGCAGGACCCCCGACCCCCCCGUCGCGAGACGGCGUUGUUGGUGCUGAGCGCCGCGCUGGAUACGGCCCCCGAGUCGUUAGCCCCCCACGCCCCAGCGGUAGCCACGCUGUGUCGGGGGGCUCUGGCUUUCGGGGGGCCCCCCCGACCCUCGCCUACGCCCUACGGGCUCUGGGGGGGCUGGCGGCCACCGUGGGGGACACCCAAACGGAGCUGCUGCGGUCGCUGCUGCCCGAGAUCCUGACAGCGCUGAAGCUCCUCCUGGACGGCGACGAGGGGUCCCUGUCGCCAUAUUUGAGGCCUUUCUGUCCAUUUUUGAGGAUGGCGGUGCUGAGGCGCUGGAGGUGCUGGAUGAGUUCCUGGAGGCCGAUCCUGCCGCCGUCACCCCUCACCUUCGCUCCCUGCUCGACCUCUGCCUGCAGGUGGCAGGGGAUGAAGGUCGAGGCGACGCCGUGAAGGUGAGGGCCCUCGACACCAUCACCUUCCUCGCCCAGAAGUGCCCCAAGGCGGUGCUGCGGGGGGGCUGCUGUCCCCGCUGCUCCAGGGCCUCCUGACCCCCCUGUGCGCCCCCCAACGACCCCACGAUGGCGCCCGGAACGCCGCCGCCAGGGUUCUGGACGCGUUGGCCGUGGGGCUGCCCCCCGAGAAACUCCUCCCGCAGCUGGGGCCGCGGUUGGGGGGCGCGUGGGGCAGCGGGGGGAGCGGCGCCCGCCAAGGGGCGCUGUUGGCCC